ACUGAGCAGCGUCCUUUGUGCAGAAUGGUGCGUAUUGUUGACAGAAGGUAAAAAAGGUAAUUGCUUUGUAUUUGCUAUUAAAGAGAUUGAGAAAAAGGAGAGGUUACGACGCAGAAUUUGGGUGCACCUGGUCAACCAGCGAAGGAGACAAUAUGGUACAUAUUACCAUCUUGUGGCAGAAUUGCAACUGGAUCGUGACCGCCACCGAAAAUACUUCAAAAUGAGCGCAGAGCAGAUGGAUCACAUUCUUACACUGAUUGGGGUGAAUCUCUUAAGACAAACAACAAAUUACAGGAGACCCAUCGAACCCAAGAAACGUCUUGCUGUUACACUGAGGU
ensembl:processed_transcript